UACGUAGGGUGCAGGCGUUAAUCGGAAUUACUGGGCGUAAAGCGUGCGCAGGCGGUUUCUUAAGUCAGAUGUGAAAGCCCCGGGCUUAACCUGGGAACUGCGUUUGAAACUGGGAGACUUGAGUGUGGCAGAGGGGGGUAGAAUUCCACGUGUAGCAGUGAAAUGCGUAGAGAUGUGGAGGAAUACCGAUGGCGAAGGCAGCCCCCUGGGAUAACACUGACGCUCAUGCACGAAAGCGUGGGGAGCAAACAGG
rnacentral:rRNA from 1 species